rnacentral:rRNA from 1 species
UGAGCGACCUGCCUAAUUGUGGGGGAUAGCCGGCCCAACGGCCGGGUAAUACCGCAUACGAUCGGAGAGGGGCAUCCCUUUCUGAGGAAAGCCUUCGGGCGCAAUUUGAGGGGCUCGCGGCCUAUCAGCUAGUUGGUGAGGUAACGGCUCACCAAGGCGACGACGGGUAGCUGGUCUGAGAGGACGACCAGCCACACUGGAACUGAGAUACGGUCCAGACUCCUACGGGAGGC